UCUGGUGGCGAUAGCGAAGAGGUCACACCCGUUCCCAUGCCGAACACGGUCGUUAAGCUCUUUUGCGCCAAUGGUAGUUGGGGGCUUCCCCCUGGGAGACGAGCUGUUUCUCUUC
rnacentral:rRNA from 1 species